UACGAAGGGUGCAAGCGUUACUCGGAAUUACUGGGCGUAAAGCGUGCGUAGGUGGUUUGUUAAGUCUGAUGUGAAAGCCCUGGGCUCAACCUGGGAAUUGCAUUGGAUACUGGCAGGCUAGAGUGCGGUAGAGGGUAGUGGAAUUCCCGGUGUAGCAGUGAAAUGCGUAGAGAUCGGGAGGAACAUCCGUGGCGAAGGCGACUUACUGGACACAUAUUGACGCUGAGGUGCGAAAGCGUGGGGAGCAAACAGG
rnacentral:rRNA from 1 species